rnacentral:rRNA from 1 species
GGAGUUAGCCGGUGCUUCUUCUGUGAGUGAUGUCCUUCCUGCCGGCUAUUAACCCGCAGGCCUUCUUCCUCACUGAAAGUGCUUUACAACCCGAAGGCCUUCUUCACACACGCGGCAUGGCUGGAUCAGGGUUGCCCCCAUUGUCCAAUAUUCCCCACUGCUGCCUCCCGUAGGAGUCUGGGCCGUGUCUCAGUCCCAGUGUGGCUGAUCAUCCUCUCAGACCAGCUACGGAUCGUCGCCUUGGUGAGCCGUUACCUCACCAACCAGCUAAUCCGACAUAGGCUCAUCCGAUAGCGCGAGGCCCGAAGGUCCCCCGCUUUCCCCCGUAGGGCGUAUGCGGUAUUAGCCUGGGUUUCCCCAGGUUAUCCCCCACUACCGGGGCAGAUUCCUAUGCAUUACUCACCCGUCCGCCGCUCGCCACCACGGAGCAAGCUCCCGUCGCUGCCGCUCGACUUGCAUGUGUUAGGUCCGUCGCCGCCACGCGUUCAAUACUGAGCCAUGAUACAACUACUGA